CUACGGGGCGCACCAGUGGGAAAUAUUGCACAAUGGGCGCAAGCCUGAUGCAGCCAUGCCGCGUGUAUGAAGAAGGCCUUCGGGUUGUAAAGUACUUUCAGCGGGGAGGAAGGGAGUAAAGUUAAUACCUUUGCUCAUUGACGUUACCCGCAGAAGAAGCACCGGCUAACUCCGUGCCAGCAGCCGCGGUAAUACGGAGGGUGCAAGCGUUAAUCGGAAUUACUGGGCGUAAAGCGCACGCAGGCGGUUUGUUAAGUCAGAUGUGAAAUCCCCGGGCUCAACCUGGGAACUGCAUCUGAUACUGGCAAGCUUGAGUCUCGUAGAGGGGGGGAGAAUUCCAGGUGUAGCGGUGAAAUGCGUAGAGAUCUGGAGGAAUACCGGUGGCGAAGGCGGCCCCCUGGACGAAGACUGACGCUCAGGUGCGAAAGCGUGGGGAGCAAACAGGAUUAGCUACCCCCGUAGUC
rnacentral:rRNA from 1 species